UACGUAGGGCGCAAGCGUUAUCCGGAAUUAUUGGGCGUAAAGAGCUCGUAGGCGGUUUGUCGCGUCUGCCGUGAAAGUCUGGGGGCUCAACUCCGGAUCUGCGGUGGGUACGGGCAGACUAGAGUGAUGUAGGGGGAGACUGGAAUUCCUGGUGUAGCGGUGAAAUGCGCAGAUAUCAGGAGGAACACCGGUGGCGAAGGCGGGUCUCUGGGCAACAACUGACGCUGAGGAGCGAAAGCGUGGGGAGCGAACAGG
rnacentral:rRNA from 1 species